rnacentral:rRNA from 1 species
CAACUUUCAGCAACGGAUCUCUUGGCUCUCGCAUCGAUGAAGAACGCAGCGAAAUGCGAUAAGUAAUGUGAAUUGCAGAAUUCAGUAAAUCAUCGAAUCUUUGAACGCACCUUGCGCUCCUUGGUAUUCCGAGGAGCAUGCCUGUUUGAGUGUCAUUA